UACGUAGGGUGCAAGCGUUGUCCGGAAUUAUUGGGCGUAAAGAGCUCGUAGGCGGUCUGUCGCGUCUGCUGUGAAAACUCAGGGCUUAACCCUGAGCUUGCAGUGGGUACGGGCAGACUAGAGUGCGGUAGGGGAGAGUGGAAUUCCUGGUGUAGCGGUGAAAUGCGCAGAUAUCAGGAGGAACACCGGUGGCGAAGGCGGGUCUCUGGGCCGUAACUGACGCUGAGGAGCGAAAGCAUGGGGAGCGAACAGG
rnacentral:rRNA from 1 species